GUAACACGUGAGAAUUUGCCUUUAGGAGGGGGAUAGCAGUUGGAAACGACUGCUAAUACCCCAUAUGCUUUCGAGUGAAAUGGAUUUAUAUUAUCCGCCUAGAGAGAAGCUCGCGGCUGAUUAGCUUGUUGGUAAGGUAAGAGCUUACCAAGGCGACGAUCAGUAUCUGGUUUGAGAGGACGAUCAGACACACUGGAACUGAGACACGGUCCAGACUCCUACGGGAGGCAGCAGUGGGGAAUUUUCCGCAAUGGGCGAAAGCCUGACGGAGCAAUACCGCGUGAGGGAAGACUGCCUAUGGGUUGUAAACCUCUUUUUUCAGGGAGGAAUAAAAUGACGUGUACCUGAAGAAUAAGCAUCGGCUAACUCCGUGCCAGCAGCCGCGGUAAGACGGAGGAUGCAAGUGUUAUCCGGAAUCACUGGGCGUAAAGCGUCUGUAGGUGGUUUAAUAAGUCAACUGUUAAAUCUUGAGGCUCAACUUCAAAAUCGCAGUCGAAACUAUUAGACUAGAGUAUAGUAGAGGUAAAGGGAAUUUC
rnacentral:rRNA from 1 species